rnacentral:siRNA from 1 species
ACGACAUGACUAUGAUGUUAUAGC